CCUACGGGAGGCAGCAGUGAGGAAUAUUGGACAAUGGGUGAGAGCCUGAUCCAGCCAUCCCGCGUGAAGGACGACGGUUCUAUGGAUUGUAAACUUCUUUUGUACAGGGAUAAACCUACCCUCGUGAGGGUAGCUGAAGGUACUGUACGAAUAAGCACCGGCUAACUCCGUGCCAGCAGCCGCGGUAAUACGGAGGGUGCAAGCGUUAUCCGGAUUUAUUGGGUUUAAAGGGUCCGUAGGCGGGCUUAUAAGUCAGUGGUGAAAGCCGGCAGCUUAACUGUCGAACUGCCAUUGAUACCGUAAGUCUUGAGUGUAUUUGAAGUGGCUGGAAUAAGUAGUGUAGCGGUGAAAUGCAUAGAUAUUACUUAGAACACCAAUUGCGAAGGCAGGUCACUAAGAUACAACUGACGCUGAUGGACGAAAGCGUGGGGAGCGAACAGGAUUAGAUACCCUGGUAGUCCACGCUGUAAACGAUGCUAACUCGUUUUUGGGUUUUAAGACUCAGAGACCAAGCGAAAGUGAUAAGUUAGCCAGCCUGGGGAGUACGUUCGCAGAAAUGAAACUCAAAUGAAUUGACGG
rnacentral:rRNA from 1 species